rnacentral:lncRNA from 1 species
UUUUUCUCAUUUUAUCGAAGAAAGCAUCAAACCUAAUUAUAUUGUUCUAUUAUGCCCAGACAGUGUAAUUUUGGAACGAAUCGAUGUCAACGCUCACAAGAAUAAAAACCGGAACAACAUUAGACUACUCAGUCGCGCCCUAACAGUAUAACUUUGCAACGAGUACUUUUUCUCAUUUUAUCGAACAAAGCGUCAAACCUAAUUAUAUUGAUUUAUUAUGCCCAGAGAGUGUAAAUUUAGAACGAAUCGAUGUCAACGCUCACAAGAACAAAAACCGGAACAACAAUAGACUACUUAGUUGCGCCAUAACAGUAUAACUUUGCAACGAAUGCUUUUUCUCAUUUUAUCGAAAAAGCGCAAAUUUAAUUAUAUUGUUCUAUAAUGCCCAGAGAGUGUAAAAUUUGGAACGAAUCGAUGUCAACGCUCACAAGAACAAAAACCGGAACAACAUGAGACUACUCAGUUACGCCCUAACAGUAUAAAUUUGCAACGAGCACUUUUUCUCAUUUUAUCGAAGAAAGCAUUAAACCUAAUUAUAUUGUAAUAUUAUGCCCAGAGGGUGUAAAUUUGGAACGAAUCGAUGUCAACGCUCACAAGAACAAAAACCGGAACAACAUUAGACUACUCAGUUGCGCCAUAACAGUAUAAUUUUGCAACGAGUGCUUUUCUCAUUUCAUCGAAGAAAGCGCAAAUCUAAUUAUAUUGUUCUAUUAUGCCCAGAGAGUGUAAAUUUGGAACGAAAUCGAUGUCAACGCUCACAAGAACAAAAACAGGAACAACAUUAGACUACUCAGUUGCGCCCUUACAGUAUAACUUUGCAACGAGUACUUUUUCUCAUUUUAUCGAAGAAAGCGUAAAACCUAAUUGUAUUCUUCUAUUAUGCCCAGAGAGUGUAAAUUUGGAACGAAUCGAUGUCAACGUUCACAAGAACAAAAACCGGAACAACAUUAGACUACUCAGUUGCGCCCUAACAGUAUAACUUUGCGACGAGUACUUUUUCUCAUUCUAUCGAACAAAGAGUAAAACAUAAUUAUAUUGUUCUAUUAUGCCCAGAGAGUGUAAAUUUGGAACGAAUCGAUGUCAACGCUCGCAAGAACAAAAACCGAAACAACUUUAGACUACUCAGUUGCGCAAUAACAGUAUAACAUUGCAACGAGUGAUUUUUCUCAUUUUAUCGAAGAAAGCGUAAAACCUAAUUAUAUUUUUCUAUUAUGACCAGAGAGUGUAAAUUUGGAACGAAUCGAUGUCAACGCUCACAAGAACAAAAAUCGGAACAACAUUAGACUACUCAGUUGCGCCCUAACAGUAUAACUUUGCAACGAGUACUUAUUCUCAUUUUAUCGAACAAAGCGUCAAACCUAAUUAUAUUGAUUUAUUAUGCCCAGAGAGUGUAAAUUUGGAACGAAUCAAUGUCAGCGCUCACAGGAACAAAAACCGGAACAACAAUAGACUGCUUAGUUGCGCCAUAACAGUAUAACUUUGCAACGAGUGCUUUUUCUCAUUUUAUCGAAAAAGCGCAAAUUUAAUUAUAUUGUUCUAUUCUGCCCAGAGAGUGUAAAUUUGGAACGAAUCGAUGUCAACGCUCACAAGAAAAAAAACCAGAACAACAUUAGACUACUCAGUUGCGACAUAACAGUAUAACUUUGCAACGAGUACUUUUUCUCAUUUUAUCGAAGAAAACGCAAAAUCUAAUUAUAUUGUUCUAUUAUGCCCAGAGAGUGUAAAUUUGGAACGAAUCGAUGUCAACGCUCACAUGAACAAAAAUCGGGACAACAUUAGACUACUGAGUUGCGCCCUAACAGUAUAAAUUUGCAACGAGACCUUUUUCUCAUUUUAUCGAAGAAAGCAUCAAACCUAAUUAUAUUGUUCUAUUAUGCCCAGACAGUGUAAUUUUGGAACGAAUCGAUGUCAACGCUCACAAGAAUAAAAACCGGAACAACAUUAGACUACUCAGUCGCGCCCUAACAGUAUAACUUUGCAACGAGUACUUUUUCUCAUUUUAUCGAAGAAAGCGUCAAACCUAAUUAUAUUGUUCUAUAAUGCCCAGAGAGUGUAAAUUUGGAACGAAUCGAUAUCAACACUCACAAAAAUAAAAACCGGAACAACAUUUGAGUACUCAGUUGUGCCUCUAACAGGUAUAACUUUUUGCAACCAGUACUUUAUUCUCAUUUUUUUGAAGUAAGCGGCCAAAACUAAUUUAUAUUGUAUUCUAUUUAGCCCCAGAGAGCUUGUAAAUUUCUGGAACGAAUUGAUGUCAACGCUCCACAAGAACAAAAACUGGAACAAAAUUAGGCUACUUAGUUGCGCCCUAACAGUAUAACUUUGCAACGAGUGCUUUUUCACAUUUUAUCGAAGAAAGCGUCAAACCUAAUUAUAUUGCUCUAUAAUGCCCAGAGAGUGUAAAUUUGGAACGAAUCGAUAUCAACACUCACAAAAAUAAAAACCGGAACAACAUUUGAGCACUCAGUUGUGUGCCCUUAACAGGUAUAACUUUUGCAACCAGUACUUUUUCUUCAUUUUAUCGAAAGUAAUGCGUCAAAACUAAUUUAUAUUAUGUCUCUUUUACGCCCAGAAGAGAGUAAAUCUGGAACGGAAUCGAUGUCAACGCUCACAAGAACAAAAACUGGAACAAAAUUAGGCUACUUAGUUGCGCCCUAACAGUAUAACUUUGCAACGAGUGCUUUUUCACAUUUUAUCGAAGAAAGCGUCAAACCUAAUUAUAUUGCUCUAUAAUGCCCAGAGAGUGUAAAUUUGGAACGAAUCGAUAUCAACACUCACAAAAAUAAAAACCGGAACAACAUUUGAGUACUCAGUUGCGCCUUAACAGUAUAACUUUGCAACCAGUACUUUUUCUCAUUUUAUCGAAGUAAGCGUCAAACCUAAUUAUAUUAUUCUAUUAUGCCCAGAGAGUGUAAAUUUGGAACGAUUCGAUGUCAACGCUCACAAGAACAAAAACCGGAACAACAUUAGACUCUUCAGUUGCACCCUAACAGUAUAACUUUGCAACGCGUACUUUUUCUCGUUUUAUCGAAGAAAGCGUAAAAUCUAAUUAUAUUGUUGUAUUAUGCCCAGAUAGUGUAAAUUUGGAACGAAUCGAUGUCAACGCUCACAAGAACAAAAACCGGAACAACAUUAGAGCACUCAGUUCCGCCAUAACAGUAUAACUUUGCAACGAGUGCUUUUUUUCAUUUUAUCGAAGAAAGCGUAAAACCUAGUUAUAUUAUUCUAUUAUGCCCAGAGAGUGUAAAUUUGGAACGAAUCGAUUUCAACGCUCACAAGAACAAAAACCGGAACAACAUUAGACUACUCAGUUGCGCCCUAACAGUAUAACUUUGCAACGAGUACUUUUUCUCAUUUAUCGAAGAAAGCGUCAAACCUAAUUAUAUUGUUCUAUCUUGCCCAGAGAGUGUAAAUUUGGAACGAAUCGAUGUCAAAGCUCACAAGAACAAAAAUCGGAUCAAUAUUAGACUACUCAGUUGCGCCCUAACAGUAUAACUUUGCAACGAGUGCUUUUUCUCAUUUUAUCGAAGAAAGCGUAAAUCUAAUUAUAUUGUUCUAUUAUACCUAGAGAGUGUAAAAUUGGAACGAACUGAUGUGAGCGCUCACAAGAACAAAAACCGGAUCAAUAUUAGACUACUCAGUUCCGCCCUAACAGUAUAACUUUGCAACGAGUACUUUUUCUCAUUUAUCGAAGAAAGCGUCAAACCUAAUUAUAUUGUUCUAUUAUGCCCAGAGAGUGUAAAUUUGGAACGAAUCGAUUUUAAAGCUCACAAGAACAAAAACCGGAACAAUAUUAGACAACUCAGUUGCGCCCGAACAGUAUAACUUUGCAACGAGUGCUUUUUCUCAUUUUAUCGAAGAAAGCGUCAAACCUCAUUAUAUUGUUCUAUUAUGCCGAGAGAGUGUAAAUUUGGAACGAAUCGAUGUCAACGCUCACAAGAACAAAAACCGGAACAACAUUAGACUCUUCAGUUGCACCCUAACAGUAUAACUUUGCAACGCGUACUUUUUCUCGUUUUAUCGAAGAAAGCGUAAAAUCUAAUUAUAUUGUUGUAUUAUGCCCAGAUAGUGUAAAUUUGGAACGAAUCGAUGUCAACGCUCACAAGAACAAAAACCGGAACAACAUUAGAGCACUCAGUUCCGCCAUAACAGUAUAACUUUGCAACGAGUGCUUUUUUUCAUUUUAUCGAAGAAAGCGUAAAACCUAGUUAUAUUAUUCUAUUAUGCCCAGAGAGUGUAAAUUUGGAACGAAUCGAUUUCAACGCUCACAAGAACAAAAACCGGAACAACAUUAGACUACUCAGUUGCGCCCUAACAGUAUAACUUUGCAACGAGUACUUUUUCUCAUUUUAUCGAAGAAAGCGUAAAAUCUAAUUAUAUUGUUCUAUUAUUCCCAGAUAGUGUAAAUUUGGAACGAAUUGAUGUCAACGCUCACAAGAACAAAAACCGGAACAACUUUAGACUACUCAGUUGCGCCUAACAGUAUAACUUUGCAACGAGUACUUUUUCUCAUUUUAUCGAAGAAAGCGUCAAAACUAAUUAUAUUGUUCUAUUACGCCCAGAGAGUGUAAAUUUGGAACGAAUUGAUGUCAACGCUCACAAGAACAAAAACUGGAACAAAAUUAGGCUACUUAGUUGCGCCCUAACAGUAUAACUUUGCAACGAGUGCUUUUUCACAUUUUAUCGAAGAAAGCGUCAAACCUAAUUAUAUUGCUCUAUAAUGCCCAGAGAGUGUAAAUUUGGAACGAAUCGAUAUCAACACUCACAAAAAUAAAAACCGGAACAACAUUUGAGUACUCAGUUGCGCCUUAACAGUAUAACUUUGCAACCAGUACUUUUUCUCAUUUUAUCGAAGUAAGCGUCAAACCUAAUUAUAUUAUUCUAUUAUGCCCAGAGAGUGUAAAUCUGGAACGAAUCGAUGUCAACGCUCACAAGAACAAAAACCGGAACAACAUUAGACUACUCAGUUGCGCCAUAACAAUAUAACUUUGCAACGAGUACUUUUUCUUAUUUUAUCGAAGAAAGCGUAAAUCCUAAUUAUAUUAUUCUAUUAUGCCCAGAGAGAGUAAAUUUAGAACCAAUCGAUGUCAACGCUCACAAGAACAAAAAUCGGAACAACAAUAGACUACUCAGUUGCACCCUAACAGUAUAACUUUACAACGAGUGCUUUUUCUCAUUUUAUCGAAGAAGGCGUCAAACCUAAUUAUAUUGUUCUAUUAUUCCGAGAAAGUGUAAAUUUGGAACGAAUCGAUGUCAAAGCUCACAAGAACAAAAACCGGAACAAUAUUGGACUACUCAGUUGCGCCCUAACAGUAUAACUUUGCAACGAGUGCUUUUUCCCAUUUUAUCGAAGAAAGCGUAAAUGCUAAUUAUAUUGUUCUAUUAUGCCCAGAGAGUGUAAAUUUGGAACGAACCGAUGUCAGCGCUCACAAGAACAAAAACCGGAACAACAUUAGACUAAUCAGUUGCGCCCGAACAGUAUAAUUUUGCAACGAGUGAUUUUUCUCAUUUUAUCGAAGAAAGCGUCAAACCUAAUUAUAUUGUUCUAUUAUGCCCAGAGAGUGUAAAUUUGGAACGAAUCGAUGUCAACGCUCACAUGAACAAAAAUCGGGACAACAUUAGACUACUGAGUUGCGCCCUAACAGUAUAAAUUUGCAACGAGACCUUUUUCUCAUUUUAUCGAAGAAAGCAUCAAACCUAAUUAUAUUGUUCUAUUAUGCCCAGACAGUGUAAUUUUGGAACGAAUCGAUGUCAACGCUCACAAGAAUAAAAACCGGAACAACAUUAGACUACUCAGUCGCGCCCUAACAGUAUAACUUUGCAACGAGUACUUUUUCUCAUUUUAUCGAAGAAAGCGUCAAACCUAAUUAUAUUGUCUAUUAUGACCAGAGAGUGUAAAUUUGGAACGAAUCGAUGUCAACGCUCACAAGAACAAAAACCGGAAGAAAAUUAGACCACUUAGUUGCGCCCUAACAGUAUAACUUUGCAACGAGUACUUUUUCUCAUUUUAUCGAAUAAAGCGUAAAACCUAAUUAUAUUGUUCUAUUAUGCCCAGAGAGUGUAAAUUUGGAACGAAUCGAUGUCAACGCUCACAAGAACAAAAACCGGAAUAACUUUAGACUACUCAGUUGCGCCAUAACAAUAUAACUUUGCAA